rnacentral:rRNA from 1 species
GUGCCAGCAGCCGCGGUAAUACAGAGGGGGCAAGCGUUGUUCGGAAUUACUGGGCGUAAAGGGCGCGUAGGCGGCCUGCUAAGUCGGACGUGAAAUCCCUCGGCUCAACUGAGGAACUGCGUCCGAUACUGGUGGGCUUGAACCCGGGAGAGGGAUGUGGAAUUCCAGGUGUAGCGGUGAAAUGCGUAGAUAUCUGGAGGAACACCGGUGGCGAAGGCGGCAUCCUGGACCGGUAUUGACGCUGAGGCGCGAAAGCUAGGGGAGCAAACAGGAUUAGAUACCCUGGUAGUCC